GCAGUUUCUUGUGGUGGUUUUAUCAACUGGUGGUUACCUCUACCUCUUCCUGCCCAUGCCUCUUCCUGCCCAUGUUCUCCACUCCCCGCAUCCACGUUUUCCCAUCCCCUCAAUUUCCUUAAAAACCAACUAAAUAGCAGAGAUGCUCAAUUUUCCUUCCUACUAUAGCUAUACUUCGUCUAUUGUCUCCCCACCAUUAACCAUCUUCCACCACAACUCCAUUAUUAUUGUAUUGUUUGUUAUCAUAUGGGAUUCUGCCCAAUUCUUCUUUUAAUGUUUAAGAAUAUUAGAUGUUUUCUCAAUUUGUGAUUUUCUGAUUUAAGGAAAACCCCUAGAGUGUUUUUUGAUUCGAUUUGAUUUUGACGGAUGAUGAUUGUUCAGGGACAUCAAUUGGCACAAGUAAUGGUGUCGGAAUUGCAGCCACAGAUAGUAGCUCUGGCAAUAACCAGUUUUCGGCGGAUUUGAAGAUUAUAUGAUUCAUGUGGGCAUGUUGCUUGAAGAAAUCGAAGAAGGAGAGAGGCUGUAUGGCUAAAGAAGGCAUUAAUAAAUGCCUCCGUGUGUUGCCGGAAAACACAAUUCUAUCCACCAUGACCUUACUAGGCUGCAGCUUGAGUUGGUUUUUACGCACAGAAGGCUGUUGGUAUACUUCCAAGCCACCCUCUGCAUAUUGGUUAGGGUUUGGUUGGAGGUGCAUAUGGUGCUUUGGGUGCAGGCUAUGGAGUUCCAGGAUAUUUAUUCACAUGUGCUCUUUUCUAUCAAUUUACGUUAAGAAGUGGGACCUAGGACAGCGGGCAUGGUUUUGAGGCGAAUGCUUUUGUGGAUGGAAGGAUCGGAUAUGUUCCGUAACAACCAGGUGUACCGCCACACACCCCCACCCCAACCGCAACAUCAAAGAGGGGGUGGUGGUGGUGGUGGUAUGAAGUGGUCCAAGUGGGGGUCGCAGAUGUUAUAUUAGUGGUGUACCGUUUGCUGAGUAAAAGAGGUGGUAUACUGAUCACCUCUCAUAAAGUAUUAAAUUACCCCCCGACUGGUUUGACCGGCUACCCAACCGGCCCAUUUUCGACCCAAGCUACAAUUUCAAUGGUUUCUGAUAUUGUGCAGUGAGAUAAGGAGAGCUCAAGAUAAGAUAUAGGAAUGUAUAUGUGAAUUAUCCACAACAUAGUGAACUUUUGAGAUUAAAUGAUGUCAACCAGGGGUGAAGGGGAUCUUGGGCAAUGUAUCUGUGAUGAAAUCCUAAUUAUCCAACUAUUUCACAAGUCCUCUGCAGCUUACACAUGUAGCAUUACUUGUGUCUUAGGAGCCGUAUUUGGAGGUUAUUAUAUAUUGAUGUAAUCAAAUGUUUUUUUUAUUAGUGUGCAUUGGGUUCAUUUGGUGCUAUAGAACUGUUAUUUUCUAUUGGUUUUUUAAUGUGAAUGUUAAGGGAAUUUGUUUUUGAUGUCUAAUUUGUGUUGUUUUUUUUUUCAGAAGUUCUCACCUGGAUCUAAUGGUAAGAUGACAACAAUGGGCGUAUAUGUUCGGAUCUAGGGAUGAGCAUUUGGGACUUGGUACGGUACCUAAUAUUUUUUCGCUACCGAUUCGGUACCCACUUUUUGGAGUUUUCGGUACCGGUAUUUUUGGUAUGGUACCGGUAAUUUACAUAAUUUUACACAAAAAUAUUGGUACCGUAUCGUACCGAACAUUUUCUGUAUUGGUACCCACAUUUGACAAUUUUCGGUACCGGUACCGGUAGUACCGAGCUCAUCCCUAGCCAACGCGGAUACAACCGACUCAUGGGAUUACCCAAACAAUAAACUUUCCUUUUAUAUAGGUAGCGAAGUUCUAUAAAUGGUUUCGACUCAUCGUUUAUAUGAUCUGUAUUCCAUCUAUCUGAUUUUCAGUUGGUUAACUUAUCUUUGCUUUGUUUUUUUUCCGGGCUGCAUAUAUAGAAUUAAAGGCUUUGUAUGUUGAAAUGACUAAACUUCACGUUUGAUAAUUUCAAUUUCUUUAGUAAGUGUUUGGAUUAGAAGAGAGUCCAAAGUGAAGUGAGCAGAGAAGCCCGGAUAAAGGAAAGUCAAAGGGAUUUUGAAGCCUACUAGGAAUUCUGCUUGUGGCAUUUUCAUGUAAAGGGUCUAAUAAAGGAAGAGACACAUAUUUGGUUGUGCAGCCAGACUCUUCUGGUGAGGUUGGACCCCCUGGAUACCGACUUGAUGAAGUGAGUCCAAUGCACUUGGUAAGAUGGAUAUAGGUAAUGUUGUUAUGAAUCAAUGUAAAUGAUCCAGAUAACUUCAGAAUUAAUGGCGAGGAUUUAGAUGCGGUUCGUUAAAGCCGAAGUUGAAGUUGAUGAUCUUAGAACGGGCCAGGACACGUCUUUACAGAUCACUCACUGAUCAUUUCUUUUUGCAUUUGUUUUGAUUUGGUAUGCUUUUAGGACAUUUAUUUUGGCUGAAAAUGGUUUGAGAUAAUUGAUAAUGUCAUUUUGUUCUAUUGCAAUUUUGUGUGGUUAUAAAA